GCUAUCCUUUAAUGAAAAACUUUCCCCUUUCUUCAAUCUGGAGGAUAUGGCCAAAGAUUUCCUACCGUUCUCCGAACCGCUUCUGGGACUUCCUUCUCCAGGUAAAAACUUUCUCCUCUUCUAAGAGCCUCAUUUGCUAUAGUAUGGGCAUAAAUAUUCUGUUCUUUGGGAAUGAAAGUAAACUCGAUCUCCUGGAACCUGUUUUUUAGACUUUGGAUAUCUGUGAUAAUUGCUCCAAUGACUGAUUUAUCUGAGAAGAAGCUUUGGCAUUUCUUGAUAACAGUUUUGGAGUCUCCUAAAACGGUUAAUUUAUUGACUCCCAGUCUAAUCCCUAAUUUUAUUACCUGUAAUCCUGCAUAUGCCUCUACUGUGAAUGGAUCUGCGAUGUUGGAGUGAAUGACUGCCUGUGAUGCAAGAAUCUCUUUGUUCUCGUUCCGUACUAUUAUACCGGAAGCUGAUCUAAACCCCAGGCGUUCGUAAGCUGCAUCGAAAUGAAUGGAGGUCCAUCCCUUUUUGUAUAUCUGUUGGAGAUUGCCAGAUGAAUGGAGAAUGAUUUCUGCUAAACCAAAUGAACCAAAGGCUACAGCAAAAAAGUUGAAGCUGCUCUUCAUUACCUCGAUCAAAAACCCAGGGCACUCAAUAAAAAUAUGCCAGCUAUUUUCUUCAGCAGAACCGCACCUGGGGCAAAGAGUGUUUAUCACUACCCUCUUUAUUUUGAGAUUGACAAAGGAAGGGAUAAAAUCCCAAGAAAUCCUCCAAAUUGUCAUCUAAAUUUUUGUAGGGAUAUGUAACUUCCAUAAUUUGUUGUAAAAAGUUUUUGUCUCGGUCUGUAAUAAUAAAUCAUUAGGAUCCAGAUUAGAACCAUGUAAUAGUUUAUAGGCACUCCUCACCGAGAACUCCCCUGUCGGUUCUCCUCUCCAAACUUGAAGAUCUUCUUGUUCUGUCUCCUCAAGAGGGAUUUUUAAUAUUUGCUCCGCAACAUCUGGUUGAAAGCUGCAAUCCCCGGUAUCCAUGAAUCUCUCCGUAUGGAAAUUUGAUCACCUCUCCCCACCCUCCAACAGCGUCCAUUAUUAAGAAGUCCUCUCGCAGCCCAUAUACUUUUCCAGGUAAAAGAAGGAUCUCUUCUUCUUCUUCAUCAAGAGAUAAACCCGCAAAUUCUGAUUCCAUGGAUGUUGUACUCGAAGCCUCCGUUAAAGACAUCACUUCAAAUAAAUGGAGAUGAGCGCCGCCAGAAGAAAACCAGAAGAAAAAACUUGCCAGAGAGGCAAACAGAGACGUGCUAGGGUAGCAGACUUUUUUAAUUAUUAAACUCAUUCAAAAACCUAGUAAAUUUAUAUAUAUAUAUAUAGUUUCAAUUAAAAUUAUUUAUACCAACAAAUGUUGGGUAUAUUGUACUUUCAAAGA